GACGAACGCUGGCGGCGUGCCUAAUACAUGCAAGUAGAACGCACAGUUUAUACCGUAGCUUGCUACACCAUAAACUGUGAGUUGCGAACGGGUGAGUAACGCGUAGGUAACCUGCCUGGUAGCGGGUGAUAACUAUUGUAAACGAUAGCUAAUACCGCAUAAUAUUAAUUAUUGCAUGAUAAUUGAUUGAAAGAUGCAAUUGCAUCACUACCAGAUGGACCUGCGUUGUAUUAGCUAGUAGGUGAGGUAACGGCUCACCUAGGCGACGAUACAUAGCCGACCUGAGAGGGUGAUAGGCCACACUGGGACUGAGACACGGCCCAGACUCCUACGGGAGGAAGCAGUAGGGAAUCUUAGGCAAUGGACGAAAGUCUGACCGAGCAACGCCGCGUGAGUGAAGAAGGUUUUCGGAUCGUAAAGCUCUGUUGUAAGAGAAGAACGGGUGUGAGAGUGGAAAGUUCACACUGUGACGGUAUCUUACCAGAAAGGGACGGCUAACUACGUG
rnacentral:rRNA from 1 species